GACGAACGCUGGCGGCGUGCUUAACACAUGCAAGUCGAACGGAAAGGCCCUGCUUUUGUGGGGUGCUCGAGUGGCGAACGGGUGAGUAACACGUGAGUAACCUGCCCUUGACUUUGGGAUAACUUCAGGAAACUGGGGCUAAUACCGGAUAGGAGCUCCUGCUGCAUGGUGGGGGUUGGAAAGUUUCGGCGGUUGGGGAUGGACUCGCGGCUUAUCAGCUUGUUGGUGGGGUAGUGGCUUACCAAGGCUUUGACGGGUAGCCGGCCUGAGAGGGUGACCGGCCACAUUGGGACUGAGAUACGGCCCAGACUCCUACGGGAGGCAGCAGUGGGGAAUAAUGCACAAUGGGCGGAAGCCUGAUGCAGCAACGCCGCGUGCGGGAUGACGGCCUUCGGGUUGUAAACCGCUUUCGCCUGUGACGAAGCGUGAGUGACGGUAAUGGGUAAAGAAGCACCGGCUAACUACGUG
rnacentral:rRNA from 1 species